ACUGAACAACAGGAAACAAGGAACAAGGAAUAGGAAAGACAAAAGCUUGAACUCUGUAUUUUUAGUACUGGAAGGGAAGAAAUUGAAGAAGUAAUAAUAAACAGGUGCAGAGGGAAGCUUUUCUUCAGCUGAGUCUGUGAAGGCAGUUGCUUAACCUGGGUAUCCAUAGUCUGACAUCAUCAUUUCACCAAACAUUGCAG
rnacentral:lncRNA from 1 species